rnacentral:rRNA from 1 species
GAUGAACGCUGGCGGCGUGCCUAAUACAUGCAAGUCGAGCGAACAGACGAGGAGCUUGCUCCUCUGACGUUAGCGGCGGGCGGGUGAGUAACACGUGGAUAACCUACCUAUAAGACUGGGAUAACUUCGGGAAACCGGAGCUAAUACCGGAUAAUAUAUUGAACCGCAUGGUUCAAUAGUGAAAGACGGUUUUGCUGUCACUUAUAGAUGGAUCCGCGCCGCAUUAGCUAGUUGGUAAGGUAACGGCUUACCAAGGCAACGAUGCGUAGCCGACCGGAGAGGGUGAUCGGCCACACUGGAACUGGGACACGGUCCAGACUCCUACGGGAGGCAGCAGUAGGGAAUCUUCCGCAAUGGGCGAAAGCCUGACGGAGCAACGCCGCGUGAGUGAUGAAGGUCUUCGGAUCGUAAAACUCUGUUAUUAGGGAAGAACAAAUGUGUAAGUAACUAUGCACGUCUUGACGGUACCUAAUCAGAAAGCCACGGCUAACUACGUG